rnacentral:rRNA from 1 species
UACGGGGGGGGCAAGCGUUGUUCGGAAUUACUGGGCGUAAAGGGCGCGUAGGCGGCCUUCUAAGUCGGACGUGAAAUCCCUCGGCUUAACCGAGGAACUGCGUCCGAUACUGAAAGGCUUGAAUCCGGGAGAGGGAUGUGGAAUUCCAGGUGUAGCGGUGAAAUGCGUAGAUAUCUGGAGGAACACCGGUGGCGAAGGCGGCAUCCUGGACCGGUAUUGACGCUGAGGCGCGAAAGCUAGGGAGCGAACGGG